UCGUAACAAGGUUUCCGUAGGUGAACCUGCGGAAGGAUCAUUAAAGAGACGUUGCCCUUCGGGGUAUACCUCCCACCCUUUGUUUAUUAUACCUUUGUUGCUUUGGCGGGCCCGUCCUCGGACCACCGGCUUCGGCUGGUCAGUGCCCGCCAGAGGACCUAAAACUCUGUUUGUUCAUAUUGUCUGAGUACUAUAUAAUAGUUAAAACUUUCAACAACGGAUCUCUUGGUUCUGGCAUCGAUGAAGAACGCAGCGAAAUGCGAUAAGUAAUGUGAAUUGCAGAAUUCAGUGAAUCAUCGAAUCUUUGAACGCACAUUGCGCCCCCUGGUAUUCCGGGGGGCAUGCCUGUUCGAGCGUCAUUACAACCCUCAAGCUCUGCUUGGUAUUGGGCUCUGCCGGUCCCGGCAGGCCUUAAAAUCAGUGGCGGUGCCAUUCGGCUUCAAGCGUAGUAAUUCUUCUCGCUUUGGAGACCCGGGUGCGUGCUUGCCAGCAACCCCCAAUUUUUUCAGGUUGACCUCGGAUCAGGUAGGGAUACCCGCUGAACCUAAGCAUAUCA
rnacentral:misc_RNA from 1 species